rnacentral:rRNA from 1 species
GUGGGGAAUCUUGCGCAAUGGGCGAAAGCCUGACGCAGCAACGCCGCGUGAGCGAAGACGGCCUUCGGGUUGUAAAGCUCUGUCAGGAGGGACGAAGCCACUCGGGUGAACAGCCCAGAGGGUGACGGUACCUCCACAGGAAGCCCCGGCUAACUACGUGCCAGCAGCCGCGGUAAUACGUAGGGGGCGAGCGUUGUCCGGAAUCAUUGGGCGUAAAGCGCGUGUAGGCGGCCGACCAAGUCCGGUGUGAAAGCUCAGGGCUCAACCCUGAGUCUGCACUGGAAACUGGCCGGCUUGAGUCCGGAAGAGGAGACUGGAAUUCCUGGUGUAGCGGUGAAAUGCGCAGAUAUCAGGAAGAACACCGGUGGCGAAGGCGGGUCUCUGGGACGGUACUGACGCUGAGACGCGAAAGCGUGGGGAGCAAACAGGAUUAGAAACCCCUGUAGUCC